ACGCUCGACACCUACGAGAGGCAGCAGUCGGGAAUAUUGCGCAAUGGAGGAAACUCUGACGCAGUGACGCCGCGUGCAGGAAGAAGGUUUUCGGAUUGUAAACUGCUUUAGACAGGGAAGAAAGAAAUGACAGUACCUGUAGAAUAAGCUCCGGCUAACUACGUGUCAGCAGCCGCGGUAAUCUGAGCGGGCUGGCAAGGC
rnacentral:rRNA from 1 species